UACGGGGGGGGCAAGCGUUGUUCGGAAUUACUGGGCGUAAAGGGUUCGUAGGUGGCCUGCUAAGUCACACGUGAAAUCCCUCAGCUUAACUGGGGAACUGCGUGUGAGACUGGCGGGCUUGAGUGCAGGAGAGGAACGCGGAAUUCCAGGUGUAGCGGUGAAAUGCGUAGAUAUCUGGAGGAACACCGGUGGCGAAGGCGGCAUCCUGGACCGGCAUUGACGCUGAGGCGCGAAGGCUAGGGGAGCGAACGGGG
rnacentral:rRNA from 1 species